rnacentral:lncRNA from 1 species
UGAGGGGGAGUUUAUACUCAUAUGCAAAAUUUUUUCUUUCUUCCAUCCAUUGUUUUGUCAUCAUCAAAAAGGGGGAGAAUGUUGACCUUGGUCCAUAGCUUUUGAUGUUUACAAAACAAUGGAUAAUUCUAAUAUCUCUUCAAGAAAUAUUUUCAGUUAUGAAACAAAUCAGAUUCAAAAAUCAAGUGCUAUUGAAAGGGACAAAGACUGUUGAAAGCUGUCGGAGGUUUGGAUCGGACGUCUGAAGGAAAUAAGACAUUCCUCUUGGAUCACUGACCUCGAUCGGACGCAAGCAUCGGACAUCCGAUAGGAUCCUUCAAAAUCGACGAAACCAUCAGACGCUGAAUAUGUUUUCACCGGACGUCCGAUAGAAACAAGAUGAUUUCUCAAAUCUCUUUGUUUGCUGUCGGAUGCACAAAGAGCUUGCACCGGACGUCUGAUAGAAUUGAAAAAAAUUUCUCAAACUCACUGCCUGCUGUCGGACGCAGAAAACAGGAGUACCGAACGUCCGACAUUCCAACGGCUAGUUGACUCUUCAGCUACUUUCUAUCCGUUGGAAGCAUUAAUGAGGCUCUUUCUUGAUCCUGUAUAAAUAAUGGUUGGUCAGAUAGUUAAAACAACUUUUGCACACUGAAGAUACAAAAGAUCUAGAGUGAUUUUAGUGAGAAAAUACUCUCCAAAGAAGAUUUGUAGUCUUAGCGGUGUGAGGUUCAUUGUAAGUUUUUCAUUUGUGAGUGAAUACUUCAUGAGUGUAGUUCUGCGAGAGUUGUUCUAAGGGAUAGUAAAACAUCCUAACUUGACCGAGUGAAGUUCGGGGCAAGGAGGAGGUGAACUUUCCUUUGUACGCAAGAGCGAUUGUAAUUCAUCAAUUUGAAGAAACUUAUUUGAAUUAAUCUACAAGCUCAAGAGGAGUUGGGUAGUUAAUUGGUUUGCAAUUCUUUCCUUUUUAUUUACUUAUUGUUACGUUUAUGAUCUUUACAUUGUUUAUUUCUUCCACUUGGUUGUCUUCAAUUCUUACAUACCUCCUCAAGUAAAUGAUAGACUGAGCAGUCAUUUUGAAAUUUUACAAAUUUUGGGUUCACCUAGUAAAAAAAACACAGCCAAAAGGGAGUUAACGAAACCAGCACAUAUAAGGAGUAAAAACACAGCCAUGGCAGAUAUAAAAACUCAAUUAUUGAAUAGUUAUACUUGCUCCAUCUCGGCCCACUUGUUAUCGUCCAUAAGCCAGAUAAACUUCUGGCUAUCCCAACCCAUUCCUGUUCCUCACCUCUUGAAGGCAAUGUAUAGUUUGGUCAGCUCUCGUAAAACAUAGUAUUUGGCUCUUAUACUAUCAAAGGUGAAAGAGGUACUGUAUUGGCCGUUCAACCGCUGUUGGAUUUCAGGAACCACAUAGCUAUAAAUGUUAUUGUCCCUAAUUUCACUAGCUCUAUGCAUGUUCACAAGGUGGUGGGCAAAAUCAAUUUCAUGCUACUUAGAGAAAUGCAAACGCUCCCCACCUCAUUGCCUUUGUUUUCUCAUCUUAAUUAACCCAUAAACAAAUCCAGAAACAAACAAAGAAAUAAAGUGACAGGCAUGAUUAUUCAAGAUACAGAGAUGACAUAACAAUAACCAAACUGGAGGAGGAGCAAGAAUUACCUUGUAGUAGUUAGAAAUGCACUGCCUUAAAUCGUUUUCCUCCCAAGCUGAGUUGGAUGAACGAGUAUACAAGAUGCUUUUCUGCUUCAAUGUUGUGUUGACAUAGGAAUAAAAUUAUUGACCAACGAACAAGGCAGUGAACAAAGGGGAACCAAGCAAAUAUACCUUUGGCAGCACGGCGGGUAAUAGGGGGCAUGUAGCCUUAGAGAGCAGCAACUAUACAAGUCAGACUACCCUGUUUUUUAGCACCAAACAGUAGUAUGAAGUUAGACAGCAGACAUCAAGUGUUUUCGAGGCCAAAGAAAAAAAUUUAUAAGCUUUAAAUAGCAUCAGGCAGUUCAUUGCAACAAAAAAAAACACAGAAUUAGGCAAGAAUAAUAUGACAACAUGAGUUCAAUCCGCAAUUAAAUAAGGCAAGACAUAGAGAGGACAGUGCACAAUAUGGAAAAGCACCAGGCAAAAGCUGCUCUACACUAAUUUCUAUCCAGAUCAACAAUAUGACAGGUAAAAACUUAUUCCACCACAGACUGCAUUUUCUCAUAUCAGCUUUCACAUGAAAAGCUUCACAGUAAGCACACUUGAAAGUGGACGGUGUCCAGGAAGUUAGUGUGCUAAGGAGGGGAGGAUAUGCAGCAAGUUACUUCCUCUGACAUUCCCAACUACAUAAAAACUUUCACUUUAAUAUUCCCAAAAGCUCCACUCUAAGUCAAGGCAGCAACAUAGGCUACACUUGUUUAUUUUGGCUUAUAGAAUUUAAGCUUUCUUGAAGCAACCAGCAUGGUUUAGAUGUGCACAUAUAAUUUCACCAACAGCAUCCCCCAAGAGAAAAAUGGUAGACAAGCAUUUAGCUACUUCAAGUUAGACUACAAACCAUACUCCAAAAACCAAAAAUUAACAUACUAAAGUAAGAACUACUCAUCCAAAACCCAUUUUACACAUUUUUUCAAUAGGUUUUCAAAAUUGUCCAAACGCUCAUAACUAAAAUAAAACAAUGAAGCAAGCAGCAAUAAGGUUUCUGGUGGCAUUUGAAAUCACUGGAAUAACCAAAACCUCAAAUUCACAAUAGCUUUUGGGAAGCAACUUCACUGUCUUUUCAAGAGCCAAGGUUGUGAAUAUAUGCCUUCGAUGCACGGCAACAGAUUAAUGCUUUCUACUAAACUCUAUCCAAUAAUUAACAUAUCAAACUAUCUCACAAUUUGUUGUAAUAUUUUCCUAGAUCUUCUUACCAAACAAAACUUAAGUAUAAAAAAUUAUUUCAGCACUCAAAAUAAUUGGUUCUUUUUUACUUACAUAACAAAAAUAAUGUGUCCCUCUUAUUUUUGCAGUAUAAGCAAACACUUAAAUGGUUACAAUUAUUUUUUUCCCUUUUAUCCAACCAAAUAAAUCCAGGAAAAUAUGUUCGCAUUCAUUAAAUCCUCUGACAAAAAUAGUUCUGACAUGCAGCCAUAAAAAGGUUUUCAAAAUAUAAAGGAAGCAAUUUUCUACCAAAGCAUUCCAAAAUUCUCUGGAAACAGCAAAAAUCUCCACAAAUGAAGUCCAUUCUUGGAUGAAAUCGAACCUUGUCUAGAAAUCAGAUCGCAAGUGUAUCACAUAUAUUUGUGAUUUGGCCACAUCAAUUAGACAUUUUUAACCAAAAAGACUGCAAAACACAAAAAACCCACUCAUUAUUCUAGACUUGGAUCAACUAAGAAGCAUUUCAAAGCAGGGAAAAAAAACAUUCCUUUUUCGACCUGCAGAACGAAGAGGGAGUCGGAGUUCCUUGAUGCCAGACGAAGUCUCGCAACGAGUCUCUGCUUGGAUUGUCUGAAAACGUGAGAGGAGCGGCGGAAAAGCAAACUCAAUCGGUGUGGAUGCUUUAGAGGAGCAUUUCCAGAAGCAGAGAUUUAGUUCGACUUUGGUUUGCAGCAGCAUUCACACUGAAUUGCAUUUGAGAAAGUGGUUUAGGGUUGAG